GUCGUCCAGUUCGAGCAGGACCCCGUCCAGAUCCUCGACGCUCUCCUCCCGCUCUACCUCAACAGCCAGAUCCUGCGUGCCCUCCAGGAGUCGCUCGCUAGCGAGCUCGCCGCCAGGAUGAGCGCCAUGAGCAGCGCCACAGACAAUGCCAUCGACCUCCGGAAAAAUCUCUCCAUGGUCUACAACCGCCGACGCCAGGCCAAGAUCACCGGAGAGAUCCUUGAGAUCGUCGCUGGCGCCGACGCCCUGUCCGGCUGAUUCCUCCUCCCCACUUGAGCUGAGCCGCCGCUGUUAUAUAUAACUCUUUGCCUCCUUUUCUCCUCUCUUCUACUUAUCUUGCUUGGUCUGUGUCUGUCUGUAAUAAUUUCUCAUAGCACAAAAAAGGAUGUCUGUUCUAAGAUUCAGUUCGGAGAUGCCAAAUGUAUAAUCCAGAGUAAUUUAUCUAUGCAAUCCCGCCUCCACCCAUAUGCAAUUUGUUUAUGCAACCCAGAGUAAUCCCAUAUGCAGUUUCUU
rnacentral:lncRNA from 1 species